GGCUGGAACUUUAUUAUUGUCACAGAGCACAGGAGAGACCGCUUGGGUCUCAAUGAAGGUUUGCUUUUCCUCUUCUCCAGGGGAAGCUACUGCAAGAAGGCCCACCAGCCAGGCUAGGUCAAAUGGGGUUGGGGCCACAACAUGAUAGUUAAACCCAUAAACACAGACUUGAUUCGAUCCCAGCUUCACGACUUCUUAGCUGUGUGACCUUAGGUAAGUCUGUUAACCUCUCUCAGCCUUGGCUUUGUGGAGUGGAGUGAAGAGCAGGGCCUGCUUCACUGGGGUGUUAUCAGGAUGGAGGGGGACAAGGCCUAUGAAAGUGUUUAGCACAGCGCCUGGCAGAUCGUGACCAGUCACGGAGUGGAAGCUAUCAUGAUCAAAUCUGAUUUCUCCACGGUCAGGCCAGCCCUGUCACUACGGAUGAGGAAGAGGGGGUCUCAUUUCAUAAAUGCCUUCAAUGCGGCCUGUGAGAAAGACAGCUUGGGACACCUGUGUGAGCUGCCUAGUCUCUGGCAAUGUGGGAGUCGGACCCAAACAUGAGGGUUCUGGGGCCUUGGCACUUACUACCAUUUCUACAUCUCCAUGAAAAGCCCUAGCAAGAGUACGGGGAAAGUUCUAAUUUUUUUUUUUUUGAGACAGAGUUUCGCUUUUGUCCCCCACGCUGGAGUGCAGUGGCGCGAUCUCAGCUCACUGCAACCUCUGCCUCCCGGGUCCAAGCAAUUCUCCUGCCUCAGCCUCCUGAGUAGCUGAGAUUAUAGGUGGCCACCACCAUGCCCAGCUAAUUUUUUGUAUUUUUAGUAGAGACGGGGUUUUGCCAUGUUGGGCAGGCCGGUCUUGAACUCCUGACCUCGUGAUCCACCCGCCUGGGCCUCCCAAAGUGUUGGGAUUACAGCCCAGGAGUUCAAGACCAGCCUGGGCAACACGAUGAAAUCCUGUCUCUA
rnacentral:lncRNA from 10 species